AUUUCAGCUUUGGAGCAUUUUUUUCCCUUCCCUUUGCUCUGCUGGUUGCUGUCGGUACACAGUAUUCCAUAUGAACCUCAUCGCUUUGCUUCAUCUUUUCUCAAGGAGUGAAGACAACCCCUUAGAAGACUGGAUGAUGAGGAAAUGUGCAUGAAAACAGUAAUCUGACAGCCUCAUAUUUUGUAAGGUGUUUUAAUUAACUUCAUAGAACAGGAUUCAUCUUACAUACCUUCAGACAUCUGAAAAAUGCAGGUGGACCCCAGAUCACAGGAUCAAGUACCUACGACAAUGCAUGUGUCAACCCUCCAGUAGGGGAGGAAGGGCUGGUCUGCAACCUCUUGCAAGGGCUCAAGCCACAUAAAUCUAUGGGUCUGGAUGGAAUUCACUCCAAGGUGUUAAGUGUCUGCCAUUGUUACAAAGCCACUGUCUAUAAUAUUUAAAAAGUCUUGGAGAUAAGGGGAUAUCCCUGAUGACUGGAAGAGGGCAAAUGUCGUAUCCAUCUACAAGAAGGGCCUGAGAGAGGACCCAGGAAAUUACAGGCCCAUUAGCCUUACUUCAAUCACUGGGAAACUAAUGGACUGAUUCCUAGAAACCAUUGCAAGCCAAAUAGAGCAGGUGAUUAGGAAAAGCCAGCACAGAUUUACCAAAGGCAAGUCAUGCUUGACUAACUUUGUCACCUUCUACAACAAAGUAACACUUUCUGUCAACAUCUGGCGAGCAGUGGGUGUUAUUUACCUGGACUGCAUCAAGGCAUUCAACACUGCUUCCCAAAGUCUUCUCCUGUACAAGCCAGCAAGAUACAAACUGGAUGGGAAAUUGGCUAACAGGUUGCACUCAGAAGGUGGUGAUCAAUGUUUUUUAUUAAGGCUGGCAGCAUGUCACAAGUGAGACCUACCAGGGAUCAAUACUGGGCUUCAUGCUGUUAGAAGUCUGGAUGAUCUAGGUGAUGGGAUUGAAAGCACCCUCACCAGGUUUGCUGACACCAAACUGAGUGGUGAGAUGAACACAUCAGAAGGGAGAGCAGUCUUACAGAGAUACCUGGACAGGCUGGAAGAGUAGGUUAGAAAAAACAGUGUGAAAUAUAACAAAGACAAGUGCAAAGUCCUGCACUUGGGACAGAAUAACCAAAGAGCCCAGUACAGGCUAGGAUCUGUGUGGCUGAGGAGCAGCCUUGCUGAAAGGGACCUGGAGGUCUUGGUGGCCACCAGGCUGAACAUGAGUCAGCAGUGCACUGUUGUGGCAACAAAGGCAAAUUGGAACCUCGGCUGCAUCCACAGGGGCAUUAGUAGCAGAGAUAGAGACAUGCACAUCCCAUUCUAUUUGGCAUUUAUCAGGGCCCACAUCAAAUACUGUGUCUAGUUCAAUUCAAGACAGAUGCAAAGGAAGGCCACAGAAAUGAUCAAGGUGCUGGAGAACCUUCUCUAUAAGGAAAGACUGAAGGAACUAGGUCUUUUCUCCCUGGAGAAGAGAAGGCUUGUGGGGGACUUCAUCAUAGUAUUCCAGUACUUAAACGUUGUCUACAAACAGGACAAAGAGGCUCUCUCUUCACGAGGAACCACAUGGAGAAUACAAGGAGCAAUGGGUACAAGUUGCACCAGGAGAGGUUUCAUCUCAACAUAAGAAAGAAAUCUUUUACAACUAAAACAAUUGGAACAACCUCUUCAGGGAUGUGGUAGAAUCCCCAUCACUGGAGGUUUUCAUGGUGCAGUUGGACAGGGUGCUAGAUAAUGUCAUCUAGGCUCCCUUUCCCAUGAAAGUUUGGACAAAAUGAUCUUUUCAGGUCCCUUCCAACAUAGGCUGUUCCAUGAUUCUGUUCUAUGAUUCUAAAUUUUCAAUUCAGGAUAUUUUAUUACCUCAUUUCAUCCCUAUAAGGCAGGCAAAGGCCAAUCUGAUGUCAGAAAAUGAACAGCCAUUUUUUACUUGCUCUUUUCACAAGAAUCCAUGAGCCUGUGGAACAAAGAACAGUCCCUGUGGGCUACGGAGGAUUUGCUUUCUGUAAGGUCUCUACUACACAUCACAUGUUAAAUUUGAAUCAGUCAGUUUUUGCUGUCAUCAAACUACAAAAACCUGUAGAAUGGCCCAAGAACUCUACCUUACUUAAGGCAGAGUUCUGUACUUAUCAUGGUAGCCAUUCUGGAGUAUCUAUUUCUAUCCUACUACAUUUAAAAUCUUACCAGGUUUAAAAUGGUCCUGAACUUUUUGCAGUUAUUGUAGAUUAACCCUGAUAAGGAGCUCAGCCCCACACAGCUGCUUACUUACUCCCCCCACAGUGGAUUGGGGGAAGAAUUGAAAGGGCAAAAGUGAGAAAACUUGUGGGUUCAGAUAAAGACAGUUUAAUAGGUAAAGGAAAAGCUGCACAUGCAAGCAAAGAGAAAUAAGGAAUAAAUUCACUGCUUCCCAUUGGCAGGCAGGUGUUUAUCCACUUCUGGGAAAGCAGGGUCCAUUAUGCAUAACACUUACUUGGGAAGACAAAUGUCACGAAACCAAAUGUAUGUCAUAACAACACCAAAUGUGUGUCAUAACACCCAUUCCACCUUCUUUCCCUAUCUUUUGUUGUUGAACACAACAUCAUAUGGUUUGUGAUAUCCAUUUGGUCAGUUAGGGGUCAGUUGUCUCAGCUGAGUCCCAUCCCAACUUUGUGUGUAUCCCCCAGCCUGCUGGCUGGCGGGGCUAAGCCUUGACACUGUGUAAGCGCUUAGCGAUAGCUAAAACAUUAGUGUGUUAUCAACAUUAUUUUCAUCACAAAUCCAAAACAUAGUACUAUACAAGCUACUAUGAACAAAAUUAACUCUAUCCCAGACAAAAUCAGUAGAGCAGUGAGUGACUGUAAUGUUUGUUAUGCAAAAAGGCAUGAGUAUCUAAUACCAGUUAAGGUUUGCUUGUUAAAAGUAAACCAGAGCAGUCUUAAAGCAGUUCUAACUUACAAAACAGAGUCAAGUAAAAGCAUAGAAUUAAUUGUUUAUUCUAUGGAGCAGGUCCCAAAUAGAUACUAGUUCCACUGAAAGAAAAACCUGGACUACUGUGCUUUUUGUUCACAAAACAAGUUUAACUCAACAAACCGCACAAGCCAAAGUUAAUAGGGAAAUACGUAACACGCAACAUGUAAAUAAAUCCUAUUUUGAAACUCGAGAAAAUAAAUAGGGUGAAGGAAGCCAAGAGAUUUGUUGUUUUUCUUUGCUUGAAGAACAAAUCCACUGUCACUUGUCUGGAUGUGAGAUAAAUCUCAUUUGACUUGUUUGGACUUGCAUGACAAAGUUUGUCUGGGUGGUUGUGGGAUGUCUGCUUAUAGCUGUAUUUUUUUCCAAAUAUUUGAUUUAUAACCCUUUCAUGUGAGUUUGACUUUGAAGAUGGUAUCAUGGAAAACAUAAAAGUGUACAUUAUUCAGAAACAGAAAUAUUGUAUGGUAUGCCUCUAUGUUUUUACCAAGGUUUAAGAGCUAAAAUCUACUAAAAAGGUAAUGAAUUGUUUUCAUACCUGGUGCCAUUCCUUUGCCUCUUUUCCUUCACUGGUUUUGUACGUUGGACAGUUUCGACUUAAGAGUUUCAGAUAUAUUUUAAAAUUAUAGUUUCCUGAAGACACUACAUACUUUAGAAAGUAACUGGCACUUCAACAGCAGUCUCGGCAAAGGAAAAAGAUGCGGAAAGAGCACAGAUUCAUUCUCAUUUCAAGAAGUAGCCUCCUGAGGUCAAGACUAAGGAACAUUGGCAAGAAGUCUGCAGAUGCACUGCUUGUUCUGUACCUAUUCUGCAGACAUAAAAGACUUCUCUUUCCAGAAUUGUCACAGCGGUAGAUUGCAUAACCAAUAAAUUCAUGUUUUCCUGUAAGCUUCAAACUUUUAUAUGUAUGAAAUACAGUCUAAGAUGUUGUGGUAAAAAUAUUUUAUCAGCAUGCCAUAUUAUUAACUGACAGUGAAGCCAUAAAAGAAUUACAGUCUUCUGGGUAAUCUUUGCUAACAUAACCAUACUUACAUCAUCAUGUCCUCUCCACAUGCCCGCUGAAAAUCAUUCUGAAAAAUAUCUCAGGGAAUUAAGGAAGUUAGCUGUAAGUAGCAAUUGUUACUUACUCUCCUCUGUAAAAUUCUACAUCCAUUUAUCUCAAAACAAGUAUAUGAGGUUUAAGGGAGCCAUAAUAUUUAAAAGAUUUUUCUGGAACAUAAUUUCAAAACUAUUGUCAAAAGCAAAAAACCACUGAAUACUACCUGAAAGUGGGAAUGCCCAUAUCCCAGUGGCAUGAAGAUCCUUUUUAAAGCCUUAAUGGAAAACAUGAAAAUUUAAAUUCAUCAUUCAUCUACAGUUUAGACUGAAAUUGUGUAGAAUCAGUAAGAAGAUGUAUUCUGUAUUUAAAGAAAUGAACAAAGUAUUUUGGAGAGGGUGUUCAAAAUAUCAUAAACAACAUCAGCUUUUGGAAACUACUGAGACAUUGGAAUAUCAUAGCUAACCCUAAGGAAAACUGUCUAGAAGACAGGAGGCAAAAAGAUUGCACAGUAUGCACCUAAAAACUGUGGAAGCAUUUGCUAAGUAUUAUGAACUGCAUGUUUCAGAUGUAUUAUAUUUCCAUGAUAUCUUAGUAUGAUAUAUACAUUUACAUAUCCUGCAGAGAAGGACCAGCUGUAGCUCUGUAGAGCUGAGGCCCCCUUCAAGAGACAGAGGAAGGAAGCACAGGCCUUGAGUAAAGUGCCUAGAGGCAUUACACCUUUGAAAGCAAUUUCUUUAAUAUUCAGCAGAAUUAUUGCUAUGGAAUUUCAGGUCUACAUGUUACCAUAAGAUGCCAUAUCAGGGAAAAUCUCUUACACACAAGUCUGUCUACCACCUUCCUGCACUUUUGCUACUGCAGAAUGACUAAUGUAAAACAAAGACAAAAAAUGAAUUGAGAUGAAAUGAAAAAAAUCUAUGGGUAUCAUUCAAGGAUGUACUGGACUUAAAAUACUGUUUUCACUCACACUUGCAAUAAGUUUUGACUUUACAGCUUCAGUGCAAUUAAUUUCGGGCUUACAUUAACAACUACUGUCAUUCGUAAUGUUAACAUAACUAAGAGAAUCCCGUUUGUCAUUCUCUGUACCCUUGGCAAACAUUUAAACAAACACACAAAUUAAUUUUCAUGACAGUCGUAGCAAAACUACCAGGGAAGUUGCUAUCCCUCUUGCCAACCCCUCCAAAAGCCAAGCAAAUUAACAACUCAUAUUUUAGCUGUUUAUUUUUUUUUACUUAAAAUUCUCACUUCCUUUAAAAAGAUUAUUGACUUUAAUCAUCCCACUGUUAUUUACUAUUGUAUAAUUUAUGCUCCGUUCCAGAUACAGUACAAUACAUAACAAAAAUUUCUAAAGUUUUUAAAGUGGAAAAAGGUUCAUUGUCCUGAAAAUGCUUAAACAUUUGUAUGUAAUGAUGAUGAUGGUGAUGACAGUGGUGAAGGUAUCAGACCCUAUAAUCCAAAUAUUUCCCACAAUUUUCUGGUGAAGAUUCUAAAAGUUUAUUGCAUUGAAGCUGUCAGGUUGUACCUCUAGUUCUUCUGAGUGCUGUUAUAACAGGAUUGUUAUGGAAAUCUGUAGGGUUUGAGAGAUUUUUUUUUCUUUCUUUCUUUUUUUUUUUCAA